rnacentral:rRNA from 1 species
UCAACUUAAGAGUUUGAUCCUGGCUCAGAAUGAACGCUGGCGGCAGGCCUAAAACAUGCAAGUCGAACGCCCUAGCAAUAGGGAGUGGCGCACGGGUGAGUAACAUGUGGGAAUAUGCCUUUUGGUACGGAACAACGUUUGGAAACGAACGCUAAUACCGUAUGGUCCCUCCGGGGUAAAGAUUUAUCGCCAAAAGAUUAGCCCGCACUAGAUUAGCUAGUUGGUAAGGUAAUGGCUUACCAAGGCUACGAUCUGUAACCGACCUGAGAGGGUGGUCGGUCACACUGACACUGAAUAACGGGUCAGACUCCUACGGGAGGCAGCAGUCGGGAAU